AUUGAACGCUGGCGGCAGGCCUAACACAUGCAAGUCGAACGAGUGGCGGACGGGUGCGUAAUGUCUGGGAAACUGCCUGCUGGAGGGGGAUAACUACUGGAAACGGUAGCUAAUACCGCCUACCAUCAGCUGUGCCCAGAUGGGAGUAGCUAGUUGGUGGGGUAACGGCUCACCAGGGCGACGAUCCCUAGCUGGUCUGAGAGGAUGACCAGCAACACUGGAACUGAGACACGGUCCAGACGCCUACGGGAGGCAGCCGUGGGGAAUAUUGCACAAUGGGCGCAAGCCUGAUGCAGCCAUGCCGCGUGUAUGAAGAAGGCCUUCGGGUUGUAAAGUACUUUCAGCGGGGAGGCGUUACCCGCAGAAUAAGCACCGGCUAACUCCGUGCCAGCAGCCGCGGUAAUAC
rnacentral:rRNA from 1 species